AGAGUUCAAAUAUACAAGUGUUUUAUUGUUAGAAUUCCCCAAAAUUCUUCUCCUUAUAUUUUGCCUGUACUGAUAUAGAGUGGCUAGGUUGGAAUGGCUCCUCCCCUUUCCCCCUCUUAUAUUUCCUCCCCUCACCCUGCCGCUUCCCUUUUUGUACAUGAUGUGUAAUGGAGAGGUAGGUGUCAGAAACUGCUUUAAUUUUAAUCCAAAAUAAUCCUAUAUUUUAAUAUAAUCGUAAAACUCCAAAUUGCUUUAUAUAUGUCCCCAAGUUUAUUAACAACUAUUGUACAUUAAAAUAUCUUGCUAGUAAUCAAUAUUAAAACUUUUAGAUGCAUGUUUGUGCACUGCUAAUGCUACAGCACAUGGUCUAUGCUAGCAUGCAGGCUAACUAGCUAAUUAUUCCCUGUUUUUAUAUGCUUUUAUACUUAAGAGAGGAGCGGAGAGGAGAAAAGAGGUGCCAAUCUAACCAGAGCUAAAGCCUGUUUCUGUUUAUCUGUUUAUCAGAAUAAAAUCCAGUAAAGACACAACGCAGAGUCUGUCAUCUCUAACCACCGGUUACACUUGGUGCCGUGAUCCUUUUGGAUUCCAAGAUCAUCGCUUGCUUGAUCACCGUGGAUUGCUGACAUUCUCCUCAAGCUGCUCAGCCUGGUGCAGACUGGAUCCCCCCUCCUCCCCUCCCCCCUCUGCUGCCUGCGUGUGUGUGAGUCUGGCUAAAGGCAGAAGGAUUCUCAAAGCAGAAUAGUUCAUUUACAUGCUCUGAUUAACUACUAAUAUAUUUUAAAGGGAAAGUAUACAGUCUAGUUAAUUACUAAUAUAUUGUGGCGGCUCUGGGUUGUGUGUGUGGCUGCCUGCAGGCAUGUUUCUGUUCUCCUGUGUGCGAGGAUGACAGGGGUGGGGCAUCUCCCUUGGGAGGGGUUAUGCAGAGAGGGUGGGCACCACUCUGGAUCUGCCAUCUGGGAGACACACAGCUGGGCUGGUGGCCUUUGGGCUAUUUGAGCUCUGGGGGUAUGGUUUUAGCUCUCCUAGUCUUGUUAAAGACUGUAAGUGAGUGGCAAGCCGAUUCAAUAAAGGAGAUGUUGAGCAUUCA